GUGUAAGUCAGAAAACAGCUUACAGGAAUUCUCUCCUUCCCUCAUGUGAGUUCCAGGAACUAACCUCAGGUCAUCAGGCUUGGUAGUAAGUUUAGACAUACAGUUGUAAAAUUAUUCAAAUAAAAUGCUAGCACAUUAAAAACAAUCUGAAACGUUUUUCCCCCACAUUUUCCUCUAAUCCCCACAAUAAACUUUUAAGGUUAACAAAUGAUCUUAUGCACGGUCUUUCUCUUCCUUCCCGCAAUGCUAGCGCGGAGCUCGGACGUCACAGCCCUUGGUGGGCUUUGCUGUUACCGCAGUUACAUCUUCAGCACCACGCCUGGGUGUGAAAGAAGGAAACCAAGGUUUCCAUGGAAGAGAGACUAAAUAAUCAGAUCUCUUUGGAACCCUCAGACUUCCCUAGGGCUAGUAGAAAGAAGUAUUUGUAUCAUGAAAGGUGAGGGUGGGUGUUGAAAGGGACCGGCUUCCGUUGAGCAGGAACACAAUCUAGGUUGAAAUUGAACUCAGGUCCUCCGACUUAGUUUUGUCCUGUAUGCAGGGAAAAUGAAUAUUCUAGGAAAAAAAUGUGUGGCUUUAGGAGAGCAGCUGGGCCCAGAUGUUUGCUGGCUCUUUCAUAACAGGUUUGUCAGUUGUCCCUGGUCCAGGAAGACGAGUCAUAGAUUUGACCAAUAGAAUAGCCUAAUAGCUCUGGUUUGUUUGUGUAUUUAUUUAUACAGGGUUUAUUGUUUAUUUAUGUAUUCAGGGUUAUUUAUUUAUUUAUACAGGGUUUAUUAUAUAGUCCUGGGUAUCUGGGAACUCACUCUGUAGAUCAGUCUGGUCUUGAACUCACAGAGAUUUACCUGCCUCUGCCUCCCAGGUGCCGGGACUCAAGGUGUGCACCCCCUCACCCAGCUCGAAGUCUGGAUCUUAAUCCUUCCCCAUAGCAGAAGAAAAGUAACCGAGACACUGUAGAACAUACUUUGAAUCCUAGCUCCUUGAGAGGCCUUUACAAGUAAGCGACUUCUGCAGGUCUUUGGCGCAUUUUACAUUUGUGGACUGUGACCUCUGAACUCGACCUUCAAGAAGGAAGUCUCAAUGAAGGAUGUACUUGUGUCCAGGUCUUAUGAUUUUUACCUUCAGUCAUGUCGCUUGGAAUCAUUCUUGCCCCAACAAGGGCUCUGCUAUCCUCUGUGGUUAGAUAAUCCCUUGGAUGAUGGUCAAACCGUCUGCAGUGCAUAAAAAUGCCAGCAUUCACUCCAUCCAGCUACCUUCAUGUUUAUAUGCACAGUACAUCUCUGUAGCCACACCUUGAUUUUGUGUUUAUGUGGUGUUUGGGGAUGUGUACCACUUAGCUACAGAAUGUUAAAAUUUCUUUCCUGGUCACUGUGCUGCAUGACUGAUCCAUUUCAUGUGAUAUAUUUAGUAUGGUUCAUUGCCCACUGGUCUUAUUAUUUAAUAAUUUGCAUUAAAUUGAAUUUUCUAUUUACAGGUGUAAAUGGAAAUUUUGGCUUCUGAGAGCAUAUUAUUUCCUGGCUAGAAUGUUCUUGGGUGAAUUAGAUCUGCCAUUAUUAGAUUGUACAUACCUGGACUAAGCUGGGGCUGUUUAAUGACAAAAUCCUUGUUAUUUUAUUUUAUUUUUUGUGAUUAGGCUUGAGUUUCUGAGGCCAGGCAAAUUUCAUCAAUUUAAGAGACAUUACUAUUACUCUACAGAAGUUAAAAACCACACCAAACUAACAAAACAAAACAUGUAUAUGUCUUGAUGGAUCAGAGGGAGUUGUAUUAGCUUCCUGUGACAAACUCUUCCUAGGGAGAUACAACACACACAUCUUCUCACCCCAGGUAGGGACCCCAUGACAGCCCAAAGUAUGAAUACCACCAAAGACUAACUUAGUGAACCCAUGUGUUUUAAAGGGGUUAUUUACAAGAGUAUGGGUAAUAGAUUAUUUACAGGAACAGAAAUGACACAAAAGAUAUCCAC
ensembl:lncRNA